GAUGAACGCUGGCGGCGUGCCUAAUACAUGCAAGUCGAGCGAACAGACGAGGAGCUGGCUCCUCUGGCGUUAGCGGCGGACGGGUGAGUAACACGUGGAUAACCUACCUAUAAGACUGGGAUAACUUCGGGAAACCGGAGCUAAUACCGGAUAAUAUAUUGAACCGCAUGGUUCAAUAGUGAAAGACGGUUUUGCUGUCACUUAUAGAUGGAUCCGCGCCGCAUUAGCUAGUUGGUAAGGUAACGGCUUACCAAGGCAACGAUGCGUAGCCGACCUGAGAGGGUGAUCGGCCACACUGGAACUGAGACACGGUCCAGACUCCUACGGGAGGCAGCAGUAGGGAAUCUUCCGCAAUGGGCGAAAGCCUGACGGAGCAACGCCGCGUGAGUGAUGAAGGUCUUCGGAUCGUAAAACUCUGUUAUUAGGGAAGAACAAAUGUGUAAGUAACUAUGCACGUCUUGACGGUACCUAAUCAGAAAGCCACGGCUAACUACGUG
rnacentral:rRNA from 1 species